CUCCUUUACCGUUAUCAGCCUCCAUCAAAAUGUGCCCAGGGAGAGGAUCAUGUGGAGGCUUAUGCUCUGGGGGUGGUCUCUCACCAUGUUCCUUUGGAGGUUGCUGUGGCUCUUCAUGUUCAUGGGGUGGUUUAUGUUCCGGCAGUGGCUUCUCUCCUUUGCCUUUAGGAGGCUCUUGGGGUGGUUUGCGUUCUGGGAAUGGUUUUCCUCCUCUACCCUCAUCAUCCUCCAUCAAAAUGUGUCCAGGGCGAGGAUCAUGAGGAGGCUUAUACUCUUUGGGGGGUUUCUCACCAUGUUCCUUUGGAGGUUGCUGUGGCUCUUCAUGUUCAUGGGGUGGUUUAUGUUCCGGCAGUGGCUUCUCUCCUUUACCCUUAGGAGGCUCCUGGGGUGGUUUAUGCUCUGGAAAUGGCUUUCCUCCUUUACCUUCAUCAUCCUCCAUCAAAAUGUGUCCAGGGUGAGGAUCAUGAGGAGGCUUAUCCUCUUUGGGUGGUUUCUCACCAUGUUCCUUUGGAGGUUGUUGUGGUCCUUCAUGUUCUGGAGGUGGUUUCUCUCCCUUACCCUUAGGAGGCUCUUGGGGUGGUUCGUGUUCUAGAGGUGGCUUCUCUCCCUUACCUUUAGGAAGCUCUUGGGGUGGUUUCUCACCAUGUUCCUUUGGAGGUUGUUGUGGUCCUUCAUGUUCAUGGGGUGGUUCAUGUUCUGGAGGUGGCUUCUCUCCCUUACCCUUAGGAGGCUCUUGGGGUGGCUUCUCUCCCUGACCUUUAGGAGGCUCUUGCUGCGGUUUAUGCUCUGGGAAUGGUUUCCCUCCUCUACCCUCAUCAUCCUCUAUCAAAAUGUGUCCAGGAUGAGGAUCAUGUGGAGGUUUCU
rnacentral:lncRNA from 1 species